UUUGAACCGGUUACGUAUUGCUUACGCGAAAGCGUAGCUAAUACCGCAUACGCCCUUCGGGGAAAGCGGGGGACCUUCGGGCCACGCACUAUUAGAGCGGCCGAUAUCGGAUUAGCUAGUUGGUGGGGUAACGGCUCACCAGGGCGACGAUCCGUAGCUGGUUUGAGGACGACCAUGCACUGGGACGAGGAUGCGACCCCAGACUCCUACGGGAGGCAGCAGUGGGGGGAAUUUUGGACAAUGGGGGAAACCUGAUCCAGCCAUCCGCGUGUGCGAUGAAGGCCUUCGGGUUGUAAAGCACUUUUGGCAGGAAAAACGCUGCGGGAUAAUACGUGCAACUGACAGUACCUGCAGAAUAAGCACCGGCUAACUACGUGCUGUAUUGCGGUAAUACGUAGGGUGCAAGCGUUAAUCAGAUUACUGGGCGUAAGCAUUGCAGACGGGACUGAAGAAGAUAUGAAAUCCCAGAGCUUAACUUUGGAACUGCAUUUUAACUACCGAGCUAGAGUGUGUUAUAGAAAAUUCCGAUUCCGCGUGUGGUGAAAUGCGUGUAGAUAUGCGGAGGAACACCGAUGGCGAAGGCAGCCUCCUGGGAUAACACUGACGCUCAUGCACGAAAGCAUGGGGAGCAAACAGGAUUAGAUACCCUGGUAGUCCACGCCCUAAACGAUGUCAACUAGCUGUUGGGGCCUUCGGGCCUUGGUAGCGCAGCUAACGCGUGAAGUUGACCGCCUGGGGAGUACGGUCGCAAAGAUUAAACUCAAGAAAGAUUGGCAGGGUUUGCCCAAGCAGUGGAUGAUCAUGGAUUAAUUCGUUACGGCACUGAAAAACCUUACUACCUUGACAUGUGUCUGGAAUCCCGAAGGGGUUGGAGUGUCAUAAAAAGGAAGAGAACCGGAACACAGGUGCUGCAUGGCUGUCGUCAGCUCGUGUCGUGAGAUGUUGGGUUAAGUCCCGCAACAGGCUGGCCCUUAUCAUUAGUUGCUACGAAAGGGCACUCUAAUGAGACUGCCGGUGACAAACCGGAGGAAGGUGGGGAUGACGUCAAGUCCUCAUGGCCCUUAUGGGUAGGGCUUCACACGUCAGCACAAUGGUCGGGACAGAGGGGGUCGCCAGCCCGCGAGGGGAGCCAAUCCGAAGCCCGAUCGUAGUCCGGAUCGCAGUCUGCAACUCGACUGCGUGAAGUCGGAAUCGCUAGUAAUCGCGGAUCAGCAUGCGGUGAAUACGUUCCCGGGUCUUGUACACACCGCCCGUCACACCAUGGGAGUGGGUUUACCAAGUAGUUAGCCUAACCGUAAGGAGGGCGAUUACCACGGUAGGAUUCAUGACUGGGGUUGAAGUCGUAACAAGGUAG
rnacentral:rRNA from 1 species